rnacentral:rRNA from 1 species
UGCUCCUGGAUUCAGCGGCGGACGGGUGAGUAAUGCCUAGGAAUCUGCCUGGUAGUGGGGGACAACGUUUCGAAAGGAACGCUAAUACCGCAUACGUCCUACGGGAGAAAGCAGGGGACCUUCGGGCCUUGCGCUAUCAGAUGAGCCUAGGUCGGAUUAGCUAGUUGGUGAGGUAAUGGCUCACCAAGGCGACGAUCCGUAACUGGUCUGAGAGGAUGAUCAGUCACACUGGAACUGAGACACGGUCCAGACUCCUACGGGAGGCAGCAGUGGGGAAUAUUGGACAAUGGGCGAAAGCCUGAUCCAGCCAUGCCGCGUGUGUGAAGAAGGUCUUCGGAUUGUAAAGCACUUUAAGUUGGGAGGAAGGGUUGUAGAUUAAUACUCUGCAAUUUUGACGUUACCGACAGAAUAAGCACCGGCUAACUCUGUGCCAGCAGCCGCGGUAAUACAGAGGGUGCAAGCGUUAAUCGGAAUUACUGGGCGUAAAGCGCGCGUAGGUGGUUUGUUAAGUUGGAUGUGAAAUCCCCGGGCUCAACCUGGGAACUGCAUCCAAAACUGGCAAGCUAGAGUAUGGUAGAGGGUGGUGGAAUUUCCUGUGUAGCGGUGAAAUGCGUAGAUAUA